rnacentral:rRNA from 1 species
ACUUCAGCGAAUGAGGAGACAUUACCUAGAGUUGCGGGCUUUGCCUGCCAUCUCUUACCCAUGUCUUUUGAGUACCUUACGUUUCCUCGGCGGGUCCGCCCGCCGACUGGACAAUUUAAACCACUUGCAGUUGCAAUCAGCGUCUGAAAAAACUUAAUAGUUACAACUUUCAACAACGGAUCUCUUGGUUCUGGCAUCGAUGAAGAACGCAGCGAAAUGCGAUAAGUAGUGUGAAUUGCAGAAUUCAGUGAAUCAUCGAAUCUUUGAACGCACAUUGCGCCCCUUGGUAUUCCAUGGGGCAUGCCUGUUCGAGCGUCAUUUGUACCUUCAAGCCUUGCUUGGUGUUGGGUGUUUGUCUCGCCUCUGCGCGUAGACUCGCCUCAAAACAAUUGGCAGCCGGCGUAUUGAUUUCGGAGCGCAGUACAUCUCGCGCUUUGCACUCAGAACGACGACGUCCAAAAGUACAUUUUUACACUCUUGACCUCGGAUCAGGUAGGGAUACCCGCUGAACUUAAGCAUAUCAAUAAUCCGGAGAAAA